CUGGUGGCUCCCGGCCCUGGUGACAGGGUGUGCACCGUGAAGGGCAGGGCGCGGGCUUUGCACGGCCCUGUGUGCCCUCUCUUGAUUGCGUGAGGGCACGCUAACCCUCUGAGGGGACGCUGUCAUCACCCCAGUUUUACCACGAGGUCACUGCGGUUCGGGUCAGCCACGUGGCUUUGGGCAAGCUGCUUCAGCCCUCUGGUCCUUCCUUUCUGCAUCUGCCACCUACCUCCAAGUCGAGAGAACCAAAAGAGAUGGUAAUGCUGGUGAUUAUUUAAGGAGCACCCAGCGUGUGCGAUUCCAUUCUAAAAGCUUUAUGCUCAUUUGAUGCUUAUAACAGCCCCAGAUGGUGAACUAUGCUUGUCCCCAUUUUACAGAUGAAGAAACGGAGGCACCAAAUGGUCAAAUAACCUGCCCAAAGGGAGCUCACACUGUGGUUUGGGAACCCACGUGGAUGAGCCUCUUGUUGGGAGAAUGAGGGUCUCAGGCAGACUGGAUCAGCGAGCUGAGGCCACAGAGAGUGGGACUGCUCUUGUGAGAAGGUUUCAAGUCACGUCCUGUGUGGCUAAGGAGGGAGGUGGUCUGCUGCCCGCUGGGUCACCUGUGGGAGAAAUGGACUCUGCUAUUCUGGCUGUGUUGGGGGCCUCUCCGUUACAGCAUCCUAGGUGUCCCCUCGCUAAGGUGCUGCGCGGGACACAGCAGGGAACCAGCAGGCAAGGUCUGAAAGCCCUGGUCAUGCUCAUAGUGUAGUGGGAGAGACAACCUUAAACUGGGAGACAGUCACAGCUACAGAAUAUGACUACUGCUGUGAAAGGCGCGAGCUGUGAUGGUGGGAGAGAAUGGUGGGGCCCCUGAUUUAGGCGGUGGCCAGAAAGGCCCCUUUGAAGAGACAGCUGUCUUUCCCUUUUUAACCAUGUAUACGUUAUUUUAAAAUAUCGUAAUAAGGGGCUGGCCCCAUGGCCGAGUGGUUAAGUUCGCGCGCUCCGCUGCAGGCGGCCCAGUGUUUCGUUGGUUCGAAUCCUGGGCGCGGACGUGGCACUGCUCAUCAAAGCACGCUGAGGUGGCGUCCCACAUGCCACAACUAGAAGGACCCACAACGAAGAAUAUACAACUAUGUACCAAGGGGGCGUUGGGGAGAAAAAGG
rnacentral:lncRNA from 1 species